rnacentral:rRNA from 1 species
CCUACGGGAGGCAGCAGUGGGGGAUAUUGCACAAUGGGGGAAACCCUGAUGCAGCAACGCCGCGUGUGGGAAGAAGGUUUUCGGAUUGUAAACCACUGUUGUUGGUGAAGAUAAUGACGGUAACCAAAGAAGAAGCCCCGGCUAACUCCGUGCCAGCAGCCGCGGUAAUACGGAGGGUGCCAGCGUUUGUCGGAAUUACUGGGGGGAAAGGGUACGGAGGCGGGCUAGCAAGUCAGAAGGGAAAAGCGAGGGCUGAACCAUGGAAAUGCGUUUGAAACUGUUGUGCUUGAGUGGAGUAGAGGUAGGCGGAAUUCCUGGUGUAGCGGUGAAAUGCGUAGAGAUCAGGAGGAACACCAGUGGCGAAGGCGGCCUACUGGGCUUUAACUGACGCUGAGGCUCGAAAGCGUGGGUAGCAAACAGGAUUAGAUACCCGGGUAGUC